ACACCCUUACAAAAAAAAAAAAAGUGUAGUAUUUUUUUUAUCAGUUUAAUAUCUGAUAUGUGGGUCAUCGACCCUACUUGAUAUUAAUUCUAUUGUUUUAUGGAGGAAUAUCUAUUAAUCUUAGUUUGAUGAUGUGGUUCUUCAUGCAUUGUCUUGAGCUUCAACUACUAUUGCUACAGCUUAUGCACCGCUC